UUGGAAUCCAUCUCAGUAGGAGGUAUAAGG
rnacentral:piRNA from 1 species